AUCGGGGCAAAUGUGGAGUGAAGAAAAACGUUUGCAACACAUCCAUUCCAGAGUGCUCUGACAGAUAAAACUGACACGCUUGAUGAGGACACAGUCAAGCUUUAAAAGCCCGUGUGAUAAAGCAGUCUUCAAUUACUACGGUGUCUGAAUUGCAAGAAGAAGUCACCCUCCACUUAAACAUGUGACAUCUAAACUGUUUUGUGUUUUAGUUCAGCUUUUCAUAGGUUUAUCUUAAGUUGGUUAAAGGCAGAGUGCACAAUUUUUGAAAGCCAAUGUUAACAUUUGAAAUUACCUAAACAAACAUGUCUCUACCCCAAUAGAAUCUGGACCUUCUUUUGAUAGAGCCACCACACACAUACGCAACCCCGGCAAGGAUGUCAGUUAGUAGACACGCCCCUUACUGCUGGUUGGCUACAAGUGUGUUUUGGUAGUCGGCCCAAUUUCCUUUUCCAAAGUGUUUUUUAAACAUUGUGCACUCCGUCUUUAAAUUGCACUUAAACAUUUUUUUUCAUUCAUUUUUUAUU